GUUAAGUUAACCUGGUUAAAUUCACAUUAGAAGAUAAAACCUUACUUCUUGAUCGGCUCUUUGGAGUCAGAGAACUUCGCCGGUUGCAGAAGCUGGUCACCGGUCAUUCACCAACACAGCACGCCCUAAACCCUUCAGGAUGGACCUGGACGACCUAGACGAACCGAGCCAGGUACCAUCACGAACCUCCAGAUUCGCACCGAAGACCUCUAAAUUCAAGCCGAAGCCGAAAUCGGAAGUAGUUCCGAAGCCGGAGCCCCAACAGCCGCCGACGAAACCGGAACCUGAACCUCCCGCUUCGAAGCCGGAACCAGAACUUGUGGAGCCGGAUGCUGCAACUGGGGAGAAAAAGGAAGAAGGAGAAGAAGUUGAAGUGAAACCAAAAGUUGAAUCCUCGCUUCCUAAUGGCGUUGAUAAAAUGGACGUUGAAACUAAGUCUGAAGCUGAAGAGGAGACAAUGGUGGAUGAUCCGAUGGAAGAAGAUGUUUCUGAAGAUAUGGUGGUUCGCGAAAUCGACGUUCUGUUCACUCCUUCAGCUGACAUCAAUUCGAAGUUGUAUGUAUUGCAAUAUCCGCUGAGACCAUGCUGGAGGCCCUAUGAAUUUGAGGGGCGAUGUGAGGAGGUGAGAGUUAAACCUAGCAGUGGAGAAGUGGAAGUUGAUCUGAAUGUUGAUAUUGAAUCCAAUAACUAUGACAGUAAAGCUGAGGGCAGUUUGCAAAUGAAGAAGCAGACUUUGACAUCUUCGUGGCAACCACCUCUAGCAACUACCUAUGCUGUUGGGCUGCUUAUGGGUAAUAAGUUACACCUGAAUCCCAUACAUGCAGUUGUGCAACUUCGACCAUCAAUUGAACACCUUAAUUCUGGUGGCCCGAAAAGGAAAAAUAUUGUUAGAGGUGAUCCAGAUGUUAAACCAGAAGAGUCUAUAGAUGUUAACUCUGCAGUUGCAUCAAGGAAGCAGAAAAAGCAAACUGGUUCUUCAACAGAGCUUAAAACUGGAGAUGAUGAGUGUUGGAUUCCACUCAAGUACUAUGGCCUAGAGAGUGAUCUGUCAACCAGAUAUCAGCGAAGCAUGGUGGCACAAAAAAGUUCCCCUAUACAAUUUUCAAUGAGCCCGGAUGACUAUAUGAACUCCUUGUGUCCUGGUGCGUGCACAAGCAGCAUUAAGCCCAGGGGUCCAUCUAAAAGGUAUUUGCUUUCAUUGUCUUUGGACGAACGGAUUAAGAAAUUGCUCAGCGAGGGACCUCCAGUUCAAAGAUUCAGUGCACUUAAGCAUUAUGCCCCUGAUUAUGAAGCGGAAGAAUUUAUCGAAGCUCUUCAGCAGUAUGCUCAGUUAGUGCAGGGUCUCUGGGUUGCAAAAAGUUCAUUUCUACUUCCCCAAGAUGGUGGCGGACGUUGUGCUAGAGAUUUUGUUCUUUGUCUGUUUAGCAAGAAUCCUCUUAUCAGCUCAUCACAGAUAAAUGUUCCAAAGUCUCUUCGGGACAAAGCGAAACAUUUUCUGAAUUUGUUCGCUGUCGAAAGACCUGCCUUUAAGGACUGGAAAUUUAGGGAGAAAACAGAUCGUUCAUUUUUAAAUAACUACCUGGAUAUUGUUCAGAAGCAAGAAAAGAUAUGGAGAUCUGUAGAAGAAGGGAUCACUAAUUCCUUCCGGGGAUCUGUCAAAAGUGGGUCCCAUGCAAAUGCUGCUACAGGAAAGCCUGACAUAGUUCCUAAAACUGAAAAACAAGUCAGUUUUGACAAAGCUACGACAAAAAGUAGUAGUGCACCUCUCAACCGAAAAAGUACCAUGUCAGAUGAAACUCGAGAAGCUUUACCAAAAGCCCUUCAAAAGCUUUUUCAAAAUCACAAGGUUUGCAGCUUUCAGUUGAUAUGUCAAGGUUUACGUGAUUUGGCUGUGUCCCAGUCUACUCUUCCAAAAGCUGAUGCCAGAAUGGCGGUGGCUGCUGCAUAUGGUGUUGAUGCUCCUCCGGAUGAAUUAAAAAAAAUCAUAGGCCAAGUUGCAACUGAGAUUCAUGGUCUCUAUGUCAUGACGUCAUCUCCAGAGCAUCCAGAAUAUGAUCCAUUAAGGAAAGUUAUAAUUCAACUUUUGCGUGGACGUGGACCUAAAGCAGUGCUCAAAAAAGCUGAUGUGUUGGAAGCUUCCAAGCGUGAACUUGGGAGGGCUAUCAAUAGCAAUGAAUAUACCAAGGUUAUGAAUGAAAUUUGCGUGUCCCACGGUUCGUCUUGGGUCUUGAAGAGUGGCGAUGGAAAUUCAAGAUGACUAGGUUCUUCUUGGGACAUUCCAAGCACAAUUAAAGAGGUUCAAAGCAAAGAAAGCAACCAGAUAAUUCUCACUCUGCUAUAAAAUUUGAAUGCCAUUAUCCAGUGGUCUACAUCAUUUGAGCCACAUCCAAAUUUUGACUCCAUGUACCAUAUUCCAGCGCAGCUUAACUAGUGGAAAAUGCUUUGGCAAACUGAAUGCUUUUCAAUGUCAUUGCAACACAAAAAUUUUGAAUUGUACAGAAAAGGUAAAUUCUAGACCAAUUAUAGCAGGCAUUCUGACCUUUCCUUUAUGCAUCAGUAAGAUACAGCCAGUAACCGCUAAUGUAAUGCGAACUUUAACAAGAAGCAGUGCAUAAUAUAAUGAUAUUAGGUGAACCUUGAAUGUUUGCUAAUACAAGGGAAAAAAAAAACUUGGGGCUGUUUUGUUUUGGUGUGUUUUAUAAACAAUAUUUUGAGAUGCUA